AGCAACUUAACGCAGUGGUAGCGUGCGGGGCCCAUAACCCCGAAGUCCCUGGAUCGAAACCAGGAGUUGCUA